AAGCUGAGCCGCGCGAAUUCUGGUUUCCAUUCAUCUCGAGCUGCGCCGAGUCCGGCUCCUACUGGGGAGCUGCGGCAGUUUGUUACUCGAGGCCGCCCUUCAAGGCGGGCCCCGAAGGUCCGGCCUGGUGAAGAGUUGGUUUUGUCAGCAGUUUGGUCUCUCCAUGUUUGACAGCUUCCCUUUGCUCACCCAAGUGAUUUGUGUCAAGUAUUUUGUUACAGCACUGAAAAGUAUGGCAUACUACUUAAAGAAUAAGACUCUGUAGGCAUCUGCUAGAACUAUGUGAGAGUCUGGACAUUUUCUGGCCUUCUUGUAAAAGAAGAUAAAGGGAUGUGUUUCUGAGUGUCAUCCUGAUCUUUCCAAAGUGUUGCAGUGUGGUCCAGAGAGCAGAGCCAGCCUUUUUGCUGUGGAUCCCAUCACCAUCCAUUGCUGAAGAAGAAGCAGGGCUCAGGACAAGCAUGUCAAACACACCUGACACUACAAAUCUACACUUUGCAACUGGCUCUCAUCACAUGCUGUCUUCUCACCCUUCUCCACUGAAAAAUAAAAGGAAAAUGUAUGAUGGCCAAGUAAAAAAUGACAGGAAAUCUUCUAGUCAAGCUUAAUAGUAUUUGCUAUGUUUAGCUUACAGAACUGAAAAAUACCUAUUAGUGUAAAGACAUUAAGAAAUGCACAGAAAGAUGAAAAUAAAACGAAACCCCAUCCCAAGAGAUCCCCUGCUUUUAGCAUUUUAUGGCAUACUUCUCUAAACUUUAAUAAAAUGUUUCAGUGAUUUAAAAGUGAAA
rnacentral:lncRNA from 1 species